rnacentral:rRNA from 1 species
AGCUCCAAUAGCGUAUAUUAAAGUUGUUGCGGUUAAAAAGCUCGUAGUUGGAUUUCUGUUGUAGGCAGCCGGUCCACACUAUGUGUGAGUAUCUGGUUCGACUACGGCAUCCUUGUGAAAGUCGUUGGUGCGCUUCACUGCGUGGCACGGGAUUCACAACUUUUACUUUGAGGAAAUUAGAGUGUUCACGGCAGGCGUUUGCCCUGAAUAUAUUAGCAUGGAAUAAUGAUAUAGGCAUGUGUGUCUAUUUUGUUGGUUUCUAGACGCA